rnacentral:lncRNA from 1 species
UUCUGUUUUCAGCUCGGAGUAAGAUGUCUUCCAGCGUUCGGAGAUCAUUGUCCACGUCAGUUUGGUAGGAAGACAGGAAGUCUGCGAUGCCACAGGUGGUUGGGCAGAAACUACCCUGCAAGUCAGUUGAAGGAGGUAUGGGACAUCACUACAGUAGUUGCAGUUAGAGCAGAGAUUCACUCCAGUCGUGUAACUUACUACAGAAUAUUUUGUCAUUUUAGAGAGAUCGAAUGUCAAUGAAUGCAGUUGUACUGCUUGUGCUCUCCAUGUGCCAAAGAGAGCUGACAUCCUUGGGUCCCGAAACCAAGAUGCCGGUGUGCUUUAGACUCUUCAGAGAAGUCAACAAAAAUUUUACUCUUCCCCUCUUUACACGACGAUUCUUUAUCUCUGCUCACACCAUUCUCCUUUCUCUGGAACUUCCCCCUGAGGAACCUCG